rfam:Tetranychus urticae London genomic scaffold, scaffold_2
UUGCAAUGAUUUGUACCGAUUCAUUGAUAGGUUAGAAGAUUGAUUUACUACUUUGAGUCGGUACGAAUCAUAUCAU